UUUCCGCCUGCUUGUUGACCAUAUAAGGAGUUCCAUGGAGCGGUCCGAGCGCCGGGCCGAUUAUAAUCACUGAAGCUCCAGUGUGGCAUCAAGGAGAAGGAAACUGUGAAAAUGAGAUGAAUGGAGGUCUGAAGAGGAGCGGGAAAUGUCAAGGAGGAUCAACAAAUUAUUGGCUGCUCCAUCAAUAAAUGUCACAUGACUCUCAGCUCAGUUCAGUGAGUUUUAGUAAAGUUUUAUUAAACUAACUUAGAGCUGCAGACGGUAACUUUUAUAAAAAAUGUUUUUUGUUGAAGCUGGAGCUACGUCCAACCAGGGGUUGCCAUGGAGAUUAAAGGAUUUCUCAAACAUACAUGAAAGAAUCAAAGCAACAGUCCAGAGUUUGAAUCCCAACCUGGAGUCUGACCGUCUCCCAGCAUGCACUGCUUCUCUCUGGGUUCUCCGGCUUCCUCACCGUCCAGAACGUGACUGUUGGGUUGACUGGUGACUCUGAUGCAUCCUUACAUAUGAAUGUGCGCAGCUGGUUGCUCUGUGAUGAUGGACUUUCCUGACAAACUCCUAAACUUUGCAGAUGUUUAAACUCUGCACAGCAAACUGACGGCCUGAUAGAAGGACUGGAGCGAAAAUGAGAGGAAAAAAGUGAAGUUCACAGAAAAACAUCUAGAAAAUCUCAAAAUGAGGCUCAAGACUUUUCAAAACUACCAACAAAGUUUGGAUAGUUUGAGUGAAAAUAGAAAUAAAUAAAUAUGAAUCCAGCAGAUGAACAUUUAGAGCAUUAAUUUUAUUAAAAGUUAUUUGUCUUUAAAUGCAGGCAGAAGUCAGUAAAUAAAUGAAGUGAAUCAGUCGUAGUGAAAGCCGAGUCCAGAGCCGGAGGCGUCCCAGACGUCACUCUGCCCUCCUCGGCUCAGACUCGCCGGCCGACCGCAGCAGGAACUGAGAGCUGGCGAACGCAGCCCGAAGCACCGCGUCUACAGAGUGGGAGGAAACAGCGAAGCUUCACUUUGUGAUGCAGCAGCUUUCACUGUCAUGGAAGAAACGCUGCCUGUUGGCAGGGGUUCCCCAAGGCGCCGAGCGCAGACCCCUGCUCUUUGACUUUAUCUGCCUUAUCAUUCAAUCUGACGCAGAUCAAUUUAUGACGACUCUGGAGACGAGGUGGGCAGAGGAGAAAACCUCAGAUGAUGCAAACAGAUCCUGAAGACAAGCAAGAGUCAUUUUCUUCUUCUGGUUUGCAGUCGGUUUGUCGGAGCUAAUCAUGUUUAUAUUCUACUAACGUUUUCUAAGUUCACCAAACGGCACAUGGAGACGUGGAGAAAGAAAACAGGUUUAUUUACUAACCAGAUCCAGUCACCAUCGAUUCUUCAUCUCCUUAAAAGCAGAACAAUCAGCAAUUUCCUCACAUGAGCAACUGCUGCCGACCAUCAGUGGCAAAAAUACAAAGUGGAAAAUGUUUAACAAUCUGAUCUGCAGUUAGUCUUAAACAUGUUUGAAUUUUAAUGAAGUGUUGGAUAAGUGCAUUAAUCUACCGUUUGAUUAAAAGAUUAAAUUUCUAAAAUAUUUUUUGCAGUUGACACAAAAUGUUUUUAUCCACCUGUAAAAAUAAACGUUUACAUUUUGAAGUCAGACUGAA